GGUGUGGAUAGAAGGGUUGCAAACAAGUAUAGAAGUGGGUGGGUUCAAAAACUGAAAUAUCAUCGCAUAACCCAGCAAAGGAGAGGGAAAAGGUUAGGACAGUAGCUGCUGCAAUUGAAGGACAGAUAUUUCUCUAAAACAUGCAAGAAAGUAGAGAAAUGUCAAUAUUUCUCAAAAAAGACAUUGGAGUGGGGAUUAAGUUACAAGUCUCCGUCAAAUCAGAUUGGACUCCGGGGAAACCAUCGAUAAGAUCCAGCGGAGGUCUAAGUCCUAAAUUUAAUUAGUGUUGGAUGACUGUAGCACAAGACAACGGCAAGAUGGAUCUUCUUCUUGUGUCUAAUCGGAUAUCGAUCCGUAUCUGCUCAGAAUUUUGGAUAGACACGUUAAUUUCCGGAUUUACAUUGGAACUCAAUAGAAUAGAAAAGACAGUGCAUAAAAAACAGGAAAACUAUCACUGCUUAAUUUGAUGUCGGAGGAAAGGUUUUAUAGAUUUUUUGUUGUAAUCCCAUCCCUUUUGGGUUGAGUAAUGAGAAAGAAAAAUAAGACAUGAUAAAACUGAACAAUGUCAUGUCAUUUUUGUGAGACGUUAUCAGUGCACUGUUACACGAGUCGGGUUCUGAUAUCAGCAAUAAUGCAGACAAAUUUCAGUGUAUCGAAUGUGAUGAGGGAGGGAGACUGGAGCCAUUCGGAAGGAUUUCUCGCACCGGCACACACCGGAUUAUUUACCGAGAACCCCGGAAUCCGCCGUUCGGCUGGUCAAAGGGAUUAAUCUAUCUUUGAUCCAAUGUAAAAACUACUGUCAGAAUGAUAGAAAAGCAAGAUCCAUGCUGCCUCAAAGAUAUCACGCACCCGCCGACGACUGUCCUUAUCUACGUACACGUGUACAACUCAUUAUACAUACAUAACCACUCCAGGGAACAAACCAAUCAUCUCAAAAUGCCAAAAUGGACACGAGAUACCAAGAUAAUAUUAAUUUUCUGGAACCGGGCACUAGUUGAGAUACAAUCAAAUUAUUAGGAUUGUGGUGUAGUUCCUCCUAUGCAGCGCAUGGACAGAGUUCUGUAUGGACAGGGACACCUGUAUGUUUGGUUACCUGCUCCUUUGACCCGGGAGUACACUCUCUGUGAACUCUCUUAUCAAAUUAAUUACAUCUUAUUCCAAUAAAGAUUCUCUCUCUAUCCUCAGAUCCAGGGUCAGGGAAAUUUAAAACGCGUAGAAACAGCAAUUUUUGUGAAAAUAAAUGAAAUUUUUGGGGUU
rnacentral:sRNA from 1 species